rnacentral:rRNA from 1 species
GCAUGGGCGGCGUCUUACCAUGCAGUCGAACGAUGAAGCUCCAGCUUGCUGGAGUGGAUUAGUGGCGAACGGGUGAGUAACACGUGAGCAACCUGCCCCGAACUUCGGGAUAACAGUUGGAAACAGCUGCUAAUACCGAAUAUGCACCAGAACGGCAUCGUUACUGGUGGGAAAGAUUUAUCGGUUCGGGAGGGGCUCGCGGCCUAUCAGCUUGUUGGUGAGGUAAUGGCUCACCAAGGCGUCGACGGGUAGCCGGCCUGAGAGGGUGACCGGCCACACUGGGACUGAGACACGGCCCAGACUCCUACGGGAGGCAGCAGUGGGGAAUAUUGCACAAUGGGCGCAAGCCUGAUGCAGCAACGCCGCGUGAGGGACGACGGCCUUCGGGUUGUAAACCUCUUUUAGUAGGGAAGAAGCCUUCGGGUGACGGUACCUGCAGAAAAAGCGCCGGCUAACUACGUGCCAGCAGCCGCGGUAAUACGUAGGGCGCAAGCGUUAUCCGGAAUUAUUGGGCGUAAAGAGCUCGUAGGCGGUUUGUCACGUCUGCUGUGAAAACUGGAGGCUCAACCUCCAGCCUGCAGUGGGUACGGGCAGACUAGAGUGCGGUAGGGGAGAUUGGAAUUCCUGGUGUAGCGGUGGAAUGCGCAGAUAUCAGGAGGAACACCGAUGGCGAAGGCAGAUCUCUGGGCCGUAACUGACGCUGAGGAGCGAAAGAGUGGGGAGCAAACAGGCUUAGAUACCCUGGUAGUCCACUCCGUAAACGUUGGGAACUAGUUGUGGGGGCCUUUCCACGGUCUCCGUGACGCAGCUAACGCAUUAAGUUCCCCGCCUGGGGAGUACGGCCGCAAGGCUAAAACUCAAAGGAAUUGACGGGGACCCGCACAAGCGGCGGAGCAUGCGGAUUAAUUCGAUGCAACGCGAAGAACCUUACCAAAGGCUUGACAUAUACCGGAAACGGCUGGAGACAGUCGCCCCCUUGUGGUCGGUAUACAGGUGGUGCAUGGAUGUCGUCAGCUCGUGUCGUGAGAAUGUUGGGGUUAAGUCCCGCACGAGCGCAACCCCUCGUCUAUGUUGCCAGCACGUAAUGGUGGAACUCCAUGGGAAUACUGCCGGGGAUCAACCUCGAAGG